rnacentral:rRNA from 1 species
CCUUCGGGUGGGGAAUAACAGUCGGAAACGGCUGCUAAUACCGCAUAAUGCAGCGGCUCGACAUCGAGACAGUUGUUAAAGCGGGGGAUCGCAAGACCUCGCGCCUGAAGAGAAGCCUGCGGCAGAUUAGCUAGUUGGUGAGGUAAUGGCCCACCAAGGCUACGAUCUGUAACCGGCCUGAGAGGGCGGUCGGUCACACUGACACUGACAUACGGGUCAG